UCGGAAGAGCGUUCCGGAAAGCUUGAAGGCACGAGAGGAAUGAGCCGGACGCAUGUCUGUUUCUGCACUGAUCCGACUCGAGCCCUUGAGCAUGAAUGAGUUCAACACCUUCAUCUAUCAUCUCAACUUCCGCUUCUCACCAUAUAACAACACGUCUCUCUCUCUGCAGCUCACAGUAGCAGUAAAUGAACCCAGAACGGCCGUCUCACCAGCUGUGUUUCCAUCCAAAGUUGACAAUUUAGCUUAUGCACCAAAUUGGCAUAUGGCAUAAAACAUUUGCGAAUAAAGCAGCGUCUCCAUCCCAUGUGAACAUUCAAAAAAACAAAAUCAUCACUUCCUGGGAAAUUGGUGCAAAAUAUCAGUACUAAAACUGUAAGUUUCUUCAAUCGGGCUCUUUCUCCUCCAUCAUAAAUGAGUUGGUCUCAGAGCGUCAGACGAAACACAAUAAACGCUGUCAUGUGAUCUUGCGUUGGGAUGCUGGUGUUUGGGAACACAAUCGUGUGAGACGCUUCUGGAGGAAUUAAACCAAAUCAUUCUGAUGACAGACUUUGACUCAGACGUUUCAGAACCAACAAACCAACAUUUGAGAUACUGCGAUGCGAUUGGUCCACUGGUUAGUGCACUUAUUCAAUCACAGCCUCUGAAAUGCCUGAAAACACUCAAAUCAUCUUAGUCAUUAGAUGUAUUUGUAGAGUUUUUGAGCAAUGUUUUCUGGAAACAUUCAUUUUUGUGUUGAUCAUGUGUGAUGAACAGGUCCGUCAGUGACGUGGAGUGACGUGGCGCGUGUUCAAACACAUUCCUGACGCUCUUCUGCUGAGCGGCGAGUGUGUGAUGGACGACUUCACUCCGCCUCACAGUUACCGUAACCCGGGUCAGAUCUGCAGCUGGAGGGUGUCGGACAGAUGUGGAGGAGACCCGAUCGUUCCCAUUCCUGCAGAGACCGCACAUCUGACUGGCUGCUGAAGUGAGGUUUUGUCGUAAAGAGUUGGAGCAUUCCUCGUAUUUCACCAUGUUCCAGUAAACUCCGCUGGACAGAGCUUCAUGUGUUUCCAAUGAUCCCAUUCCUUUAUUUUUAACAAUGUGCUUGAGUCACCUCUGAUUUAUUCCACUGUUCAUGUCACAAAAAUUCCACUCUAGGUAAAAAAAAAUACACGUGGAACAAAAAAUAUAUAAAUGUUUGAUUUAGAGAUACUCAAACACUAAAAUAAUUCUUUUUUUUUUUUUUUUUUUUAAAAGAGGAAUAUAAAAUAUAUAAAUGUUUGAUUUAGUGAUCCUCAAGCACCAAAAUUAAUUAUCAUUAAUUAAUUAAUUAUUAAAAGAAUAUAUAAAUGUUUAAUUUAGAGAUACUCAAAUAAUAUCAUAUUUAAAAAAUAAAUAAAUAAAUUAAAUACAUGGAACAUUUAUAUAUAUAUAUAUAUAUAUACACUAUAUGUUUGAUUUAGUGAUAAUCAUCAGCAGAAUGACACAAUAUCAUUAAUCUCAAUCUGAUGCUGGAACGAUCGCAGCUCUCAGUUUGAAGAAUAUUUUAACAGCAGACUUGAAAACCCAGUAAGAUCCAGUUUUAAGUUUGGAGAUGAUCCAGUUCAAGACCUAGACGUGCUUUUCAACACAUUUUAUUGGGCUUCCAACAGAUUCUCAGUGUGAACGCUCUCUCUGUGCGUCUCGUUCAUUACAGCGGAUCUUUAUAUUGAGCUAAAUUACAGGCUGUUGCUCCGACACACACUUCUGUCCACUGUGAAAGCAAACACUGCAGCCCCAGACAUAAGUCUGUGUGUGUGUGUGUGUGUGUGUGUGUGUUUGUUUGUUUGUGUUUGUGUGUGUGUGUGUGUGUGUGUGUGUGUGUUCACUGCACUUCCUGUAGUGGCUCGAGUCUUGGCAUCAUGCUUUGACCCAUGCGCUUCUUGAUGAAUGAUCCUUUUACUUUCCUCAGCUGGGUUCCUCUGAGGUUCUGACCCAUAUUUGAGGAUCGUGAUUCCUGAGCGUUACUGAUGCUGAACUCGUGUGAUUGCCUCCAAAAAAAAUGACGGAGGCUGAAGGCCUGAAGAUGAAGCAGCUGUUUGUUCUGACUUUGUGAAUGUCUCUGCCGCCCACUGUGCUGAUGCACUGGAUGUGGCUGAAAUCAGACAUUCCAGGGAUUCAGAGCUAAAUCCAUUAUCCUUGCUAUUCACCCCAAAUUCAGCGUCUGUCCGGUGACCUGCUCUCUGUUCGGGAUAUCGCCGUAAAACACAGAAUGGACUCGGCUAUGCUGUUGUGCAUCUGACGGCUUCAAUCCCGAUCGCUCAGCGCUGUUUGAAAUGCAUCACCCAACAUGACCCUUCUUCGCUACUUGUCAUUUUCUUCAUCCAGAAGCAUUAAGCAAUCUGCACGGAUUUUGGACAUGUCUUUCCUGGAAGGUCAAGCGCAGUGUCAUGAGUAUGAGUAUUCCCUGAAGCAUGUGCUCCUUCACCCUGUGAUCACUGCUCAUGAUGAAGAGACAGAAGCAUCUCAAGAGGAGUCCAGACCGAAGCCCCGAGGACACGGCGAAGCAAACAUCGGGAAAGAGGCAAUGUAACAACAUCUACAACAUCACCUCUUCCCUGAAGUGACGGGUGAUCCACAGCCACUGAUCUGUGUUCAGUUAGACAGUAGUAACGACAAGAGUUGGAGACUGAGAAUUCCUGGCAAAAGCAUCUUAAACUCUUAAUUUUAUUUGAAAUAAACAUGAAGAGCUCCAAUUAAUAUUAAAGUCUGAAAUCCAAAUAAAAUCUAUUGACUCUCUUAAUUCAUGUUUCUGGUCUUAUUGUGAAUGAUUUAUCAGUGACGUUAUUCUACAGGAGUAAAUGUUCGUCUUCAAUUCGUAUGUUCUUCCUCAGUAUUUCUGUCUUGUUUUCCAGCACAAAUAUCUAAACACUCUUAAAUCAAGAUACAUUUACUGGAGAAGAGAAAUGACUGAAGAUUUUAAGUCUUGUUUACUGAAAAAUGCAUCAAAAUGAAGUGAGUUUGUGCUUAAAACAAGAACAAAUAUCUGCCAAUGUAGUCA